CUUAACGAAGACCCGAAAGAACAAACGGAGAAAAGCUACAUGGUUUGAGUACGAGUCUCGAUCUCCGUGCCCUUUUCCCGACAAAUCCUCGCAAAUAACGACGAACCCUCCCCAGUGUUUGUGGGCGUGCGAUGGACGGGAUGGCGAUUGCCGAUCCUCGCCCCAGUCUGAUGGUCACCAACGACGACGGCAUCGACGCGCCGGGGCUCCGGUUCCUCGUCGACCUCCUCGUCGCCGCCGAUCGGUACCGCGUCCUCGUCUGCGCUCCCGAUUCUGACCAAUCUGGUGUUGGACAUGGCAUUGCUUGGCGUCGUCCUCUCAGUGCUAAACGUGUUGAGAUUAUGGGUGCUACAGCUUUUGCAGUAUCAGGCACUCCUGCAGAUUGUGCUUCUUUGGGAAUUUCUGGGAAACUCUUUGUUGGUACAAUUCCUGAUUUGGUGAUUAGUGGCAUCAAUAUUGGUAGCAACUGUGGAUACCACAUUGUAUACUCUGGGACAGUAGCCGGUGCGCGGGAAGCAUUCUUAUAUGGUGUACCUUCUUUAGCUAUAUCAUAUAACUGGAAGGAAGGGAAGAGCAAUGUUCAUGCCCUGAGGCUUGCUGCAGAUGCUUGUUUGCCUCUCAUAAAUGCUGUACUGAAUGAGCUGAAAACCAAGACAUAUCCUGAAGGUUCAUUUUUGAACAUAAUUGUGCCAACAGAUGUUGCAAAUCACAGGGGAUUCAAGAUAACAAAGCAGGGAAAAUUUAUGAUCAGAUUUGGGUGGGAGCAAACAAAAACCAGCACACCAGCUGUAGAGACCUAUCAAAAUGCAAAUAUUGAUGUUGACUCUGCAUCGGGCUUUGGUAACAAUGCAUCAUCAAGUCUGGUGGAAGAUGAACUCUUGUUUAAGAGGGUGAUUAUCAAGAAGAACAGUGUAGAAGCGGAAGAGGACACAGAUCACAGGGCCAUGGAAGAAGGAUAUAUUACAAUCACCCCUUUAGGUGCCCUCUCACGCACAGAAAUGGAAGCUGUGCCCUAUUUCAAAGGUUGGCUGAUGCGUUUAGCAGACCAUUCACCUUGUUCGUCCUUGUGAAGUUUGUCUCCAGGUUUGCAGCACUGCUUCGUUCUGGUCUCAUAUGAUUGGGAGCCACUGGAGGAUUCCAUUUUGAUAUACCAUAACGUAAUUGAUUAUAAACAGCAUAGUAUUAUUCCUUUCCAAUUUUUGAAUAAUGCAAUUUCAAUCAUAAAUUGGUAGGAUGCAGUGUACCUCGUGAAACACAUUGAUCAGUGAGGGCAAAUUAUGUGGACCAAAAGCAACUCACCAACUUGGCAGAUUGAGAGGCCAAAAUGAUCGGUUACUUUUCUUGCCUUUGUCAGAGUUCGCAUAGAAGACAAAAAGAAAAGGUACUACUCCUUAGCUCAAGAGUAAUUUACCUCUUGUCGGGACCACCCAUUCAAUCAGUUCAGAUGCAGAGUCGCACUUUCAAGCAUUAUGAGCAUAUUAAUAAAGAAAAAUGUCACUUCAGCAAGCACCAUCUUAA